AUUGAACGCUGGCGGCAGGCCUAACACAUGCAAGUCGAACGGGUGGCGGACGGGUGAGUAGUGUCUGGGAAACUGCCCGAUCGAGGGGGCUAACUACUGGAAACGGUAGCUACUACCGCAUACCAUCGGAUGUGCCCAGAUGGGAUUAGCUAGUAGGUGGGGUAACGGCUCACCUAGGCGACGAUCCCUAGCUGGUCUGAGAGGAUGAUCAGCCACACUGGGACUGAGACACGGCCCAGACUCCUACGGGAGGCAGCAGUGGGGAAUAUUGCGCAAUGGGGGAAACCCUGACGCAGCCAUGCCGCGUGAAUGAAGAAGGCCUUCGGGUUGUAAAGUUCUUUCGGUAGCGAGGCGUUAACUAAAGAAGAAGCAACGGCUAACUCCGUGCCAGCAGCCGCGGUAAUAC
rnacentral:rRNA from 1 species